GAUGAACGCUGGCGGCGUGCCUAAUACAUGCAAGUCGAGCGAACAGAUGAGGAGCUUGCUCCUCUGACGUUAGCGGCGGACGGGUGAGUAACACGUGGAUAACCUACCUAUAAGACUGGGAUAACUUCGGGAAACCGGAGCUAAUACCGGAUAAUAUAUUGAACCGCAUGGUUCAAUAGUGAAAGACGGUUUUGCUGUCACUUAUAGAUGGAUCCGCGCCGCAUUAGCUAGUUGGUAAGGUAACGGCUUACCAAGGCAACGAUGCGUAGCCGACCUGGGAGGGUGAUCGGCCACACUGGAACUGAGACACGGUCCAGACUCCUACGGGAGGCAGCAGUAGGGAAUCUUCCGCAAUGGGCGAAAGCCUGACGGAGCAACGCCGCGGGAGUGAUGAAGGUCUUCGGAUCGUAAAACUCUGUUAUUAGGGAAGAACAAAUGUGUAAGUAACUAUGCACGUCUGGACGGUACCUAAUCAGAAAGCCACGGCUAACUACGU
rnacentral:rRNA from 1 species